rnacentral:rRNA from 1 species
UACAGAGGUGGCAAGCGUUGUCCGGAAUCAUUGGGCGUAAAGAGCGUGUAGGCGGCCCGAUAAGUCCGCUGUGAAAGUCCAGGGCUCAACCCUGGGAUGCCGGUGGAUACUGUCGGGCUCGAGUCCGGAAGAGGAGUGUGGAAUUCCUGGUGUAGCGGUGAAAUGCGCAGAUAUCAGGAGGAACACCAAUGGCGAAGGCAGCACUCUGGGACGUGACUGACGCUGAGACGCGAAAGCGUGGGGAGCAAACAGG